AACCGAUCCAGGAGGGGGCUUGCGUUCUCACACAAACCCCUUUUUAAAAAGUGUAGAAUGACCCCAUUUUUGCGAUAACACGCAAUCAAUACAACUUUCAACAACGGAUCUCUUGGCUCUCGCAUCGAUGAAGAACGCAGCGAAAUGCGAUACGUAAUGUGAAUUGCAGAAUUCAGUGAAUCAUCGAAUCUUUGAACGCACCUUGCGCCCCUUGGUAUUCCGAGGGGCACACCCGUUUGAGUGUCGUGAAAAUCUCAACCUCCUCGGUUUCUUCUGGACACCGAAGGAGGCUUGGACUUUGGAGGCCUUUGCUGGCGUCUCUCGCCAGCUCCUCUCAAAUGAAUUAGCGGGGUCCUCUUUGCCGAUCCUCGACGUGUGAUAAGAUGUUUCCAUGUCUUGGUUUCUGGCUCUGUUGCUUUUGGGACCCGCUUCUAACCGUCUCAACCCGAGACAAUGUUUGAGCGUGUCUCCCUUCUCGGGAAACGCCCUCAAGCCCACGAACCCUUGACCUCAAAUCGGGUGAGACUACCCGCUGAACUUAAGCAUAUC
rnacentral:misc_RNA from 1 species